GACGAACCGUGCGAACGUUGUUCGGAAUCACUGGGCUUAAAGGGCGCGUAGGCGGACAACCAAGUCGGGGGUGAAAUCUUCGGCUCAACCGGAAAAUAGCCUUCGAUACUGGCCGUCUAGAGGGAGGUAGGGGCGUGUGGAACUUCCGGUGGAGCGGUGAAAUGCGUUGAUAUCGGAAGGAACUCCGGGUGGCGAAAGCGACACGCUGGAUCUCUUCUGACGCUGAGGCGCGAAAGCCAGGGGAGCGGAACGGG
rnacentral:rRNA from 1 species